AACGAACGCUGGCGGCAUGCCUAACACAUGCAAGUCGAACGAGAUCUUCGGGUCUAGUGGCGCACGGGUGCGUAACGCGUGGGAAUCUGCCCUCAGGUUCGGAAUAACCAUUUGAAACGAUGGCUCAUACCGGAUGAUGACGUUCAGUCCAAAGAUUUAUCGCCUGAGGAUGAGCCCGCGUAGGAUUAGCUAGUUGGUGUGGUAAAGGCGCACCAAGGCUACGAUCCUUAGCUGGUCUGAGAGGAUGAUCAGCCACACUGGGACUGAGACACGGCCCAGAAUCGUACGGGAGGCAGGAGUGGGGAAUAUUGGAGAAGGGGCGAAAGCGUGAUAAAGCAAUGCCGGGUGAGAGAUGAAGGCCUUAGGGUAGUAAAGCUCUUUGAGACGGGAUGAUAAUGACAGUAACGGGAGAAUAAGCACCGGCUAACUCCGUG
rnacentral:rRNA from 1 species